AGUUGUCUUGGACCACGGCAAUCAUAAUCUGUUACAUGGGUUGAAGGUGCAUAACAUCGGGGAUGAGGCGGUUCAUUUCCGUGAUGGCAGC
rnacentral:tRNA from 1 species